UCGCCUGCAUGAAGUCGGAAUUGCUAGUAAUCGCAGAUCAGCAUGCUGCGGUGAAUACGUUCCCGGGUCUUGUACACACCGCCCGUCACACCAUGGGAGCUGGUAACACCCGAAGUCAGUAGUCUAACCGCAAGGAGGACGCUGCCGAAGGUGGGAUUAGCGACUGGGGUGAAGUCGUAACAAGGUACC
rnacentral:rRNA from 1 species